GAGUGUAGCUCAGAGGUAGAACACAUGCUUAGCAUGUGUGAUAUCCUGGGUUCAAACCCCAGCACCA
rnacentral:tRNA from 1 species